GCGACUCGUCCUGGGUGUCCCCCGCCUAUCACCCAAUGACGGCUGGAGGUACCAGUAACUCUACUGAGGACUACGCAGACAAGGAAGAAGAAUAGAAGAAUGAAACGCGCACAUGUACAUGCCAACAAUGAUCCCAAAGAUGAAUUGUGGCGACGCUCCACUAAGUUAAAGAAAUCCCUCGAGGAAAGAAGAAAAGUUAGUAGCAAAAAGGUGAGAUUGGGAGAGACAGAGGGGAGUGAGGUGGAGAGUUGCGGAGAACAUUGCGAGCUGCUAAAGCUGCAAAAUGGUGGAACAGCUGCUCAAGUCUUUUAUGUGGCGGCCCCAGAGAGCAGCUCUGUUGGGUGCUCCUCGCUGCACCGCCACAAUUCACUGAAGAAAAAACCCACGAAGGCUCGGAUUGGGACUGCUGCACUAGAAACUAACCAAACUGCAUUACUGCAGGCGGGGGCUAUCAUGCAUCAAGAGUGA
rnacentral:lncRNA from 1 species